ensembl:lncRNA
AUUAAUGAGACGUGUGACUUGAUUCGACUCACACUGAUGUCAGAUUUCAGGACUGAACCCAAUGCAAAAUUACAAACUGCCUUUUUGGCCCGAAAUAUACUUUUUAAGUGAGCACAGAUGUUUCUAGCUGUGCAAGUGUAAUUUGCAUUAUUCUGAUACUGUAUAUGCACAUUUCAUGACCUAAUGCAUUCUUAACGUUGCCAUAGCAUUUGCAUACAUUUUUUAUAUUUCGUUUUUCUGAUUUUCAUUUUUCUUCUUUCAGAUCAACUACUGUUAAGGUGGAGCAGCAGUCUGAAAAAGCAUCUUGCUGAAGCUCGACAGCAUCUGUCUCCGUUGUGAAUAAGCACUGACUCUGCAACUCUCUGGUUUUUGUAGUUCACAGAAGAGAGGAAGUCAAUACGGGUUGAUUCAGACAGUGCUGAAGCUCCGCCUGAAUAACAAGGUCGUUCUUCCACGAGCUCCAGAAUGGAAGCGGUACUUUCCAGGCCCAGGGCGAUGUUCUGCUGUCUGGAGAUGUAAAUGCCAGGACCGGUUCUGAGUGUGACAGUGCUGGAUCUCUCGGGAAUAAACUCUCAGUCAAAACCGCUCCGUACCUGCUC